GUAGAUGUGGCUCAAUAGUUAAGAGCACUGGUCUCUUUCUGAGGACCUAGGUUUAACUCCCAGCACCCACA
rnacentral:tRNA from 1 species